GAUGAAGAACGCAGCGAAAUGCGAUAAGUAAUGUGAAUUGCAGAAUUCAGUGAAUCAUCGAAUCUUUGAACGCACAUUGCGCCCCCUGGUAUUCCGGGGGGCAUGCCUGUCCGAGCGUCAUUGCUGCCCUCAAGCCCGGCUUGUGUGUUGGGUCUCGUCCCCCUUCCCGGGGGGACGGGCCCGAAAGGCAGCGGCGGCACCGUGUCCGGUCCUCGAGCGUAUGGGGCUUUGUCACCCGCUCUGUAGGCCCGGCCGGCGCUUGCCGAUCAACCAAAACUUUUUUCCAGGUUGACCUCGGAUCAGGUAGGGAUACCCGCUGAACUUAAGCAUAUCAAUAAGCGGAGGA
rnacentral:misc_RNA from 1 species